rnacentral:rRNA from 1 species
AACGAACGCUGGCGGCAUGCCUAACACAUGCAAGUCGAACGAGACCUUCGGGUCUAGUGGCGCACGGGUGCGUAACGCGUGGGAACCUGCCCUUAGGUUCGGAAUAACUCCCCGAAAGGGGUGCUAAUACCGGAUAAUGUCUUCGGACCAAAGAUUUAUCGCCUUUGGAUGGGCCCGCGUUGGAUUAGCUAGUUGGUAGGGUAAAAGCCUACCAAGGCGACGAUCCAUAGCUGGUCUGAGAGGAUGAUCAGCCACACUGGGACUGAGACACGGCCCAGACUCCUACGGGAGGCAGCAGUGGGGAAUAUUGGACAAUGGGCGAAAGCCUGAUCCAGCAAUGCCGCGUGAGUGAUGAGGCCUUAGGGUUGUAAAGCUCUUUUACCCGGGAUGAUAAUGACAGUACCGGGAGAAUAAGCGCCGGCUAACUCCGUG